rnacentral:rRNA from 1 species
UACGUAGGGUGCGAGCGUUGUCCGGAAUUAUUGGGCGUAAAAGAGCUUGUAGGCGGUUUGUCGCGUCUGCUGUGAAAAUCCGGGGCUCAACCCCGGACUGCAGUGGGUACGGGCAGACUGGAGUGUGGUAGGGGAGACGUGGAAUUCCUGGUGUAGCGGUGGAAUGCGCAGAUAUCAGGAGGAACACCGGAUGGCGAAGGCAGGUCUCCUGGG